rnacentral:tRNA from 1 species
UCAGAGAAAGAGUUCGACCUCUAUCAUUAAUCUCCAAAAUUAAUAUUUUAAUAAACUAUUCUCUG